rnacentral:rRNA from 1 species
GGCAGCAGCUAAGAAUAUUCCGCAAUGGACGAAAGUCUGACGGAGCGACGCCGCGUGGAUGAUGAAGGCCGGAAGGUUGUAAAAUCCUUUUAUGACUGAGGAGUAAGUGAAGUGAGAGAAACGCUUCAUGGUGACUGUAGGUCAUGAAUAAGCAACGGCUAAUUACGUGCCAGCAGCCGCGGUAACACGUAAGUUGCGAGCGUUGUUCGGAAUUAUUGGGCGUAAAGGGUAUGUAGGCGGUUCUGCAAGUCUGGUGUGAAAUGCCGGGGCUCAACCCCGGAACUGCGUUGGAAACUGCAGGACUUGAAUCGCUGAGGGGCAGCCAGAAUUCCAGGUGUAGGGGUGAAAUCUGUAGAUAUCUGGAAGAAUACCAAUGGCGAAGGCAGGCUGCCAGCAGAUGAUUGACGCUGAGGUACGAAGGUGCGGGGAGCAAACAGGAUUAGAUACCCUGGUAGUCCGCACAGUCAACUAUGUACACUGGGUGUCCGCUCAUGAGAGUGGGUGCCGAAGCAAACGCGAUAAGUGUACCGCCUGGGGAGUAUGCCCGCAAGGGUGAAACUCAAAGGAAUUGACGG